rnacentral:rRNA from 1 species
GUGGGGAAUCUUCCGCAAUGGACGAAAGUCUGACGGAGCAACGCCGCGUGAGUGAUGAAGGUCUUCGGAUUGUAAAGCUCUGUUAAUCGGGACGAAAGAGCCUAGUGUGAAUAAUGCUAGGAAGUGACGGUACCGGAAUAGAAAGCCACGGCUAACUACGUGCCAGCAGCCGCGGUAAUACGUAGGUGGCAAGCGUUGUCCGGAAUUAUUUGGCGUAAAGCGCGCGCAGGCGGAUCUGCCAGUCUGUCUUAAAAGUUCGGGGCUUAACCCCGUGAUGGGAUGGAAACUACAGAUCUAGAGUAUCGGGGAGGAAAGUGGAAUUCCUCGCGUAGCGGUGAAAUGCGUAGAUAUAAGGAAGGACACCAGUGGCGAAGGAGACUUUCUGUACGAAAACUGACGCUGAGUCGCGACAGCCAGGGGAGCGAACGGGAUUAGAUACCCUUGUAGUCC